rnacentral:lncRNA from 1 species
AUGGGUCCCGGAGAUGCUGCUGAUUCCAUUCCCGAUGGCAUCGGCGGGGAAGCCAUACCAGGCACUGUUAAUGGGCUUGGGCUUGGGCCCAUUGACAUCAUUGGUGGUGAAGCCAUAGGCAUUGGUGGUGGAGUCAUGGUCAUGGGUGGUGGAGUCAUCAUAGGCAUGGGUGGUGGAGUCAUGGACAUGGGUGGUGGAGUCAUCAUAGGCAUGGGUGGUGGAGUCAUCAUAGGCAUAGGUGGUGGAGUCAUCAUAGGCAUAGGUGGUGGAGUCAUCAUAGGCAUGGGUGGUGGAGUCAUAGCCGGAGGGGGGAUCAUGCUUCCACCGCCGCCGCUAGGCAUUGGGGGCAUGGACAUUGAGCCGGAAGGAGCCAUCAUGGGAGCUUGAGCUAAAGAGAAAGGAACUAAAACC